GUUUAGUUCCAUAAAUUUGAGCUCUAUUGAUCAUAUAACAAAGCAAGGAGAGGAUAUUUUUUUCAUCAAGUAACAAGGUUGGACAAGUAAUGGUAAACGAGCAGGACUCCUUUUUUGUAAAUAAUUAAGAGUUGUGAUACACUUUAUUUUAUUGAAUAUUUAGAUCUUCCAUUUUCUUCUUCAUAUUUUAGACUUCUUCUUUUUUGUAAAUAAUUAACAGUUGUGAGAUUUUAUGUUUGA